ACCGCGGUAGCCCAGUUGUAAGUGGCGUCGGCAGUACAGUUGCCGAAGGUCGCAUCGCAGGUUCAAAUCCUGCCUAUGGUG